UUAUAACCUAGUUAACUACAAGUCUAAAAAUAACUUAAAUAGGAUUAAAACAACAAAACCUUAUGUUAAACAAAAGUGAGAGACUAAUAUUGUCAAAACUUAAACUUAUAUUACUAAAUUAGUGAAAACAAAACCAAACACCCCAUAAUUGAGGUGUCUCGUCGUACAAGAAGCAGGAGGGCGACAAGGGUUCUUCACCAAACCCUAACUCUCACAAAAAUUGAUCAAUUGAAGGAUCAAAUCAAGUCCAAACCGAAAAUCGAGCAUAGAUUAAUGAUCCCCAUUGCAAGGAGAUCAUAAGAAAAAUUGCCAAUUGGAAUUACGUCAAUCGGAUAAACGAGGAAUUUUUAAUGAAUUUUUCCUUUGACGCCUAACGAGCUAGAUGGAAGCUUGUGGAUGAAGCGGGUCAAACG
rnacentral:lncRNA from 1 species